UACGUAGGCAGCAAGCGUUGUUCGGAAUUACUGGGCGUAAAGGGCUCGUAGGUGGCCAACUAAGUCAGACGUGAAAUCCCUCAGCUUAACUGGGGAACUGCGUCUGAUACUGGAUGGCUUGAGUUUGGGAGAGGGAUGCGGAAUUCCAGGUGUAGCGGUGAAAUGCGUAGAUAUCUGGAGGAACACCGGUGGCGAAGGCGGCAUCCUGGACCAACACUGACACUGAUGAGCGAAAGCCAGGGGAGCAAACGGG
rnacentral:rRNA from 1 species